UACGAAGGGGCUAGCGUUGCUCGGAAUCACUGGCGUAAAGCUGCACGUAGGCGGAUUGUUAAGUCAGGGUGAAAUCCUGGAGCUCAACUCCAGAACUGCCUUGAUACUGACGGUCUUGAGUCCGGGAGAGGUGAGUGGAACUCCGAGUGUAGAGGUGAAAUUCGUAGAUAUUCGGAAGAACACCAGUGGCGAAGGCGGCUCACUGGCCCGGUACUGACGCUGAGGUGCGAAAGCGUGGGAGCAACAGG
rnacentral:rRNA from 1 species